rnacentral:rRNA from 1 species
AUUGAACGCUGGCGGCAGGCUUAACACAUGCAAGUCGAGCGAGCGGCGGACGGGUGAGUAAUGUCUGGGAAACUGCCUGAUGGAGGGGGAUAACUACUGGAAACGGUAGCUAAUACCGCAUACCAUCAGAUGUGCCCCGAUGGGAUUAGCUAGUGGGGGGGGUAAGGGCUCACUUAGGCGACGAUCCCUAGCUGGGCUGAGAGGAUGAACAGCAACACUGGAACUGAGACACGGUCCAGACUCCUACGGGAGGCAGCAGUGGGGAAUAUUGCACAAUGGGCGCAAGCCUGAUGCAGCCAUGCCGCGUGUGUGAAGAAGGCCUUCGGGUUGUAAAGCACUUUCAGCGAGGAGGCGUUACUCGCAGAGGAAGCACCGGCUAACGCCGUGCCAGCCGCCGCGGUAAUAC